CUGUCCUAGGCUUCUCCACUACCCAACAGUUGAACUGGCUAGCAAAUCACCACCCUCGGGUCCUCUACCACCCUCUGGUUGGACAGGUCUUUCACCAUCCUCAACUCCUCCACUGCCAUUCAGAUGGGAUGGAAAGACAAACAUCACCCUCAGUUGGACUGCCGGACCGAUCAUCACCAUUCUAACUGAAGUCACCAAGAGCAGCCAGUUGAGCUUUCACCACCCGGCUCCUCCACCACCAUCCUGUUGGACUGCCAGUCAUUCACCACCCUCAGCUCCUCCAACGCCUUCCUGUUCAAAUGCUGGGCCCUUCACACACUCGACUCCUCAACUGCUCUGCAGGUGGACUGACUGGUCCUGACUGUCCUAGGCUUCUCCACUACCCAACAGUUGAACUGGCUAGCAAAUCACCACCCUCGGGUCCUCCACCACCCUCUGGUUGGACAGGUCUUUCACCAUCCUCAACUCCUCCACUGCCAUUCAGAUGGGAUGGAAAGACAAACAUCACCCUCAGUUGGACUGCCGGACCGAUCAUCACCAUUCUAACUGAAGCGUUCUCCUCCAUGAAUGUUGUGGUGAUCUCUUGUAAAUCCAGGGGUCCCCACUGUAGUUCCCUCUCUGAUGCCCUUCAGCGAAGU